rnacentral:rRNA from 1 species
UACAGAGGUCUCAAGCGUUGUUCGGAUUCAUUGGGCGUAAAGGGUGCGUAGGCGGCGCGGUAAGUCGGGUGUGAAAUCUCGGAGCUUAACUCCGAAACUGCAUUCGAUACUGCCGUGCUUGAGGACUGGAGAGGAGACUGGAAUUUACGGUGUAGCGGUGAAAUGCGUAGAUAUCGUAAGGAACACCAGUGGCGAAGGCGGCUCGCUGGGCCGGUCCUGACACUGAGGCGCGAAGGCGUGGGGAGCGAACGGGG